rnacentral:rRNA from 1 species
CGAACGGGUGAGUAACGCGUGAGGAACCUGCCUCAAAGAGGGGGACAACAGUUGGAAACGACUGCUAAUACCGCAUAAGCCCACGGCUCGGCAUCGAGCAGAGGGAAAAGGAGUGAUCCGCUUUGAGAUGGCCUCGCGUCCGAUUAGCUGGUUGGUGAGGUAACGGCCCACCAAGGCGACGAUCGGUAGCCGGACUGGGAGGUUGAACGGCCACAUUGGGACUGAGACACGGCCCAG